rnacentral:rRNA from 1 species
AGUGAACGCUGGCGGUAGGCCUAACACAUGCAAGUCGAACGGCAGCACAGUAAGAGCUUGCUCUUAUGGGUGGCGAGUGGCGGACGGGUGAGGAAUACAUCGGAAUCUACUUUUUCGUGGGGGAUAACGUAGGGAAACUUACGCUAAUACCGCAUACGACCUACGGGUGAAAGCAGGGGACCUUCGGGCCUUGCGCGAUUGAAUGAGCCGAUGUCGGAUUAGCUAGUUGGCGGGGUAAAGGCCCACCAAGGCGACGAUCCGUAGCUGGUCUGAGAGGAUGAUCAGCCACACUGGAACUGAGACACGGUCCAGACUCCUACGGGAGGCAGCAGUGGGGAAUAUUGGACAAUGGGCGCAAGCCUGAUCCAGCCAUACCGCGUGGGUGAAGAAGGCCCUCGGGUUGUAAAGCCCUUUUGUUGGGAAAGAAAUCCAGCCGGCUAAUACCUGGUUGGGAUGACGGUACCCAAAGAAUAAGCACCGGCUAACUUCGUGCCAGCAGCCGCGGUAAUACGAAGGGUGCAAGCGUUACUCGGAAUUACUGGGCGUAAAGCGUGCGUAGGUGGUUGUUUAAGUCUGUUGUGAAAGCCCUGGGCUCAACCUGGGAACUGCAGUGGAAACUGGACAACUAGAGUGUGGUAGAGGGUAGCGGAAUUCCCGGUGUAGCAGUGAAAUGCGUAGAGAUCGGGAGGAACAUCCAUGGCGAAGGCAGCUACCUGGACCAACACUGACACUGAGGCACGAAAGCGUGGGGAGCAAACAGGAUUAGAUACACAGGUAGUCCACGCCCUAAACGAUGCGAACUGGAUGUUGGGUGCAAUUUGGCACGCAGUAUCGAAGCUAACGCGUUAAGUUCGCCGCCUGGGGAGUACGGUCGCAAGACUGAAACUCAAAGGAAUUGAGGGGGGCCCGCACAAGCGGUGGAGUAUGUGGUUUAAUUCGAUGCAACGCG